GACGAACGCUGGCGGCGUGCUUAACACAUGCAAGUCGAACGGAAAGGCCCUGCUUGCCGGGUCCUCGAGUGGCGAACGGGUGAGUAACACGCGGGUGAUCCGCCCCGCACUUCGGGAUAAGACUGGUAAAAAGGGUCUAUUACCGGAUAGGAGCCAUCUUUAGUGUGGUGGUUGGCAAGUUUUUUCGGUGUAGGAUGAGCUCGCGGCCUAUCAGCUUGUUGGUGGGGUAAUGGCCUACCAAGGCGGCGAGGGGCAGCCGGCCUGAGGGGAGGUACGGCCACACAGAGACUGAGAUGCGGCCCAAACAGCGACGGGAGGCAGCAGGGGGGAAUAUUGCACGAUGGACGCAAGCCUGAUGAAGCGACGCCGCGUGGGGGAUAAAGGCGUUCGGGUAGUAAACUGCUUUCGCGAGUGAAGAAGCCAUUUUGUGACGGUACCUAGAUAGAAAGCACCGGCUAACUACGUG
rnacentral:rRNA from 1 species